rnacentral:tRNA from 1 species
GGGGGUGUAGCUCAACUGGGAGAGCGUCACAUUUGCACUGUGAAGGUAGUAGGUUCGAGUCCUAUCAUCUCCACCA